GACGUGAUUGUCAACAGUGGGGUGAUCGUGGUCAUGGUAUUCAACAGCCAGCCCGGGUGAGACUACAGCGUAUUGCCGUAACUAAAGAAAUCCGGGCAACAACCACAGUAUGACAAUGAGGGAAGCCGGGCUGGCAGUGCAACAAAAUUUGCGGCGAUCAACAACUGUGUCUAUAAUUCGUACAUUUCGAACUUAGAAUAGGAUUGAAAGAAGAGCUGCCCAUGGCAUCUAAGGAGAACAUCUGCUGUGACGUACACUAAAUUAAAUUAUGUGGCCAUACGGACCGAACGGCUUAGUGAUGCAGAACGAAAAUUUCACUGUAACACCAAACAUUGAUCACGGGAAGAAGCACAAGAUUAUGCUUGGUCACUGUUGGUUGCACAUUCUUCUUGGUCCUUUGCAGUCCAGCAGCGAUGGAGAAACUCCCUUUUGAUGGUUACUUUUCCAAAGCACUGAUGAGGAUGUGACAGCAUGACCAGGAGACAGAGGAAUGCAGUAUAUCAGGGAGUUAUUACCUGCCUCAAAUCCUGCCCCUUUCUGCCAACGAGAUCUGAUACACAGCCAGAGGCUGGAAACGAAAUUUAUUAAAAAUUGACAAGUUACUCCCGUGGUUGUAGGCUCCAUAAUGGGGAUUGGGUUUAUACAUUAACAUUAGGAUCCAAGUCUGCAAUGUUCAAAGGGGGAAUUUAAUUUUUCAGUUUAUGGCCCUUUCCUUUCCCCACCUCAAGUGGUUGUUUUUUAAACCAUAUAUUAAGUUAGUUGACAGUGGAAGGCUAUUAUCGGUAAUUCAA